rnacentral:lncRNA from 1 species
GCAAAUCUAUCAGCAGUGUACAAAAAAUAGCCCGGAGCCCGUGUGUGCCUGGCCUCUGAACUCCUGGUAACAGUUUUUGCCGUUGAGGAAAGUGUCCCAUGGUUCAGAGUCAGCAGUUGUCUAAUUUACGGCACGUUGUGCUGAAUGGGCACGGCAUGUUGACGCUGGGAGGCACAGCUGAGAAGUGUGUCUGGGGCCGUAAACUACAGCUUUCUGGUGAAUCUUGAAACUGGUUAGGAUUGGGAAACAAUUAGACUGAAGAGUUUUACUUGAAGUAGGACUCCAUUUAUAGCUAGAGUGCACAGUUUUGAAUAUUGUAUAAUUUUGCAGACACAAGCACAGCACCAGUAUUUACGGGCCACCAACACUAUUAAAAGUACUAAAAAAUGACAUUGACUUAUAUAAUCCAGCAAUGCUUUAGAAAUCCAGAUUACAUAGAAAAUACACUCAGAUCUAAUUUUAUUUUCCAUAUUGGUGCCCCAAAGUAAGGUGAAUAGUAGGAGUUUUAGUGUACUGACUUGUGGGAUUUUUAAAAGUACUAGUGCAUGACAACAACCAAAACCAAUCUAGUCCUCCCUUGGCAUGUAAGUUGGGGACCUUCAGC